rnacentral:rRNA from 1 species
GACAGAGGGGGCAAGCGUUGCUCGGAAUUACUGGGCGUAAAGGGCGCGUAGGCGGGAUGGCAAGUCGGUCGUGAAAUCCCUCGGCUCAACCGAGGAACGUCGAUCGAUACUGCUGUUCUUGAGGAUUGCAGAGGAGACUGGAAUUCCCGGUGUAGCGGUGAAAUGCGUAGAGAUGUGGAGGAAUACCGAUGGCGAAGGCAGCCUCCUGGGCCAACACUGACGCUCAUGCACGAAAGCGUGGGGAGCAAACAGG